CCUACGGGAGGCAGCAGUGAGGAAUAUUGGUCAAUGGACGAGAGUCUGAACCAGCCAAGUAGCGUGAAGGAUGACUGCCCUAUGGGUUGUAAACUUCUUUUAUAAAGGAAUAAAACGAGGCACGUGUGCCUUUUUGCAUGUACUUUAUGAAUAAGGAUCGGCUAACUCCGUGCCAGCAGCCGCGGUAAUACGGAGGAUCCGAGCGUUAUCCGGAUUUAUUGGGUUUAAAGGGAGCGUAGAUGGGUUGUUAAGUCAGUUGUGAAAGUUUGCGGCUCAACCGUAAAAUUGCAAUUGAUACUGGCAUUCUUGAGUACAGUUGAGGUAAGCGGAAUUCGUGGUGUAGCGGUGAAAUGCUUAGAUAUCACGAAGAACCCCGAUUGCGAAGGCAGCUUACUAAACUGUGACUGACAUUGAUGCUCGAAAGUGUGGGUAUCAAACAGGAUUAGAUACCCCUGUAGUC
rnacentral:rRNA from 1 species